rnacentral:rRNA from 1 species
GACGAACGCUGGCGGCGUGCUUAACACAUGCAAGUCGAGCGGUAAGGCCCUUUCGGGGGUACACGAGCGGCGAACGGGUGAGUAACACGUGGGUGACCUGCCCUCAGCUCUGGGAUAAGCCUGGGAAACUGGGUCUAAUACUGGAUAUGACUCCACGGUGCAUGUCGUGGGGUGGAAAGCCUUGUGCGGCUGAGGAUGGGCCCGCGGCCUAUCAGCUUGUUGGUGGGGUGANGGCCUACCAAGGCGACGACGGGUAGCCGGCCUGAGAGGGCGACCGGCCACACUGGGACUGAGACACGGCCCAGACUCCUACGGGAGGCAGCAGUGGGGAAUAUUGGACAAUGGGCGCAAGCCUGAUCCAGCGAUGCCGCGUGUGUGAAGAAGGCCUGCGGGGUUGUAAAGCACUUUCAGUAGGGAAGAAAGCCGAGUGCUAAUAUCAUUCGGUCUUGACGUUACUUACAGAAGAAGCACCGGCUAACUCCGUGCCA